UCUAAGUGCUGAAUGACUCCUCAUUUUUUUCUUUCCCAUUUUCUGAAUUGCCACCCCUACCAAAGGGUAUGCAAACAAUGAUAGCUAGCAAGACUCUGGUCCCUUAACACGCACCAAAGUUGUAAGACCAACAUAAAAGGGGAAAAGGACAGAGACGCCAGCCAAGGAACACACAGAUGAGAAGAGAACAAAGAAAAUGGAUCUCCACAACCAUAUAUAAUCACCAUAACUCAGCAUGUCUACGCUAGAAAUAUCAGAAUGGCAAGAGAUGAACAGAAUUU
rnacentral:lncRNA from 1 species